rnacentral:rRNA from 2 species
CCACGGUGCUGAAGCAACAAAUGCCCUGCUUCCAGGAAAAGCCUCUAAGCAUCAGGUAACAUCAAAUCGUACCCCAAACCGACACAGGUGGUCAGGUAGAGAAUACCAAGGCGCUUGAGAGAACUCGGGUGAAGGAACUAGGCAAAAUGGUGCCGUAACUUCGGGAGAAGGCACGCUGACACGUAGGUGAAGUGAUUUACUCAUGGAGCUGAAGUCAGUCGAAGAUACCAGCUGGCUGCAACUGUUUAUUAAAAACACAGCACUGUGCAAACACGAAAGUGGACGUAUACGGUGUGACGCCUGCCCGGUGCCGGAAGGUUAAUUGAUGGGGUCAGCGCAAGCGAAGCUCCUGAUCGAAGCCCCGGUAAACGGCGGCCGUAACUAUAACGGUCCUAAGGUAGCGAAAUUCCUUGUCGGGUAAGUUCCGACCUGCACGAAUGGCGUAAUGAUGGCCAGGCUGUCUCCACCCGAGACUCAGUGAAAUUGAACUCGCUGUGAAGAUGCAGUGUACCCGCGGCAAGACGGAAAGACCCCGUGAACCUUUACUAUAGCUUGACACUGAACAUUGAGCCUUGAUGUGUAGGAUAGGUGGGAGGCUUUGAAGCGUGGACGCCAGUCUGCGUGGAGCCGACCUUGAAAUACCACCCUUUAAUGUUUGAUGUUCUAACGUGGACCCGUAAUCCGGGUUGCGGACAGUGUCUGGUGGGUAGUUUGACUGGGGCGGUCUCCUCCUAAAGAGUAACGGAGGAGCACGAAGGUUGGCUAAUCCUGGUCGGACAUCAGGAGGUUAGUGCAAUGGCAUAAGCCAGCUUGACUGCGAGCGUGACGGCGCGAGCAGGUGCGAAAGCAGGUCAUAGUGAUCCGGUGGUUCUGAAUGGAAGGGCCAUCGCUCAACGGAUAAAAGGUACUCCGGGGAUAACAGGCUGAUACCGCCCAAGAGUUCAUAUCGACGGCGGUGUUUGGCACCUCGAUGUCGGCUCAUCACAUCCUGGGGCUGAAGUAGGUCCCAAGGGUAUGGCUGUUCGCCAUUUAAAGUGGUACGCGAGCUGGGUUUAGAACGUCGUGAGACAGUUCGGUCCCUAUCUGCCGUGGGCGCUGGAAGACUGAGGGGGGCUGCUCCUAGUACGAGAGGACCGGAGUGGACGCAUCACUGGUGUUCGGGUUGUCAUGCCAAUGGCACUGCCCGGUAGCUAAAUGCGGAAAAGAUAAGUGCUGAAAGCAUCUAAGCACGAAACUUGCCCC